rnacentral:rRNA from 1 species
UNUGCUGUGAAAGGCUGGGGCUUAACCCUGGUUUUGCAGUGGGUACGGGCUAACUAGAGUNCAGUAGGGGAGACUGGAAUUCCNGGUGUAGCGGUGGAAUGCGCAGAUAUCAGGAGGAACACCGAUGGCGAAGGCAGNUCUCUGGGCUGUAACUGACGCUGAGAAGCGAAAGCAUGGGGAGCGAACAGGAUUAGAUACCCUGGUAGUCCAUGCCGUAANCGUUGGGCACUAGGUGUGGGGGACAUUCCACGCUUUCCGCGCCGUAGCUAACGCAUUAAGUGCCCCGCCUGGGGAGUACGGCCGCAAGGCUAAAACUCAAAGAAAUUGACGGGGGCCCGCACAAGCGGCGGAGCAUGCGGAUUAAUUCGAUGCAACGCGAAGAACCUUACCAAGGCUUGACAUAUACUGGACUGCGUCAGAGAUGGCGUUUCCCUUCGGGGCUGGUAUACAGGUGGUGCAUGGUUGUCGUCAGCUCGUGUCGUGAGAUGUUGGGUUAAGUCCCGCAACGAGCGCAACCCUCGUUCUAUGUUGCCAGCACGUGAUGGUGGGGACUCAUAGGAGACUGCCGGGGUCAACUCGGAGGAAGGUGGGGAUGACGUCAAAUCAUCAUGCCCCUUAUGUCUUGGGCUUCACGCAUGCUACAAUGGCCGGUACAGAGGGUUGCGAUACUGUGAGGUGGAGCUAAUCCCUAAAAGCCGGUCUCAGUUCGGAUUGGGGUCUGCAACCCGACCCCAUGAAGUCGGAGUCGCUAGUAAUCGCAGAUCAGCAACGCUGCGGUGAAUACGUUCCCGGGCCUUGUNC